UACUGUGAAUUACACCUAUAAAAUUCUCACUUUUUUUAUUCAAAUUUUGUAGGUCAUUUGUCGUAAAUAUAGAAAGAUACAAUGGCAUUGUCUUCGUUGUUGAAAUUAUUGAGACUUUUUUUCAUAUAAACACCAGUUUAAAGUCUGCACUGUGAAUUAAAGAGGAAUUCUAUAUAAGUCAUAGAAUUUUAUAUUUUGUAGCAUAAAUGGGGUAAGAUUUAGUAAAGACAGUCAUGAAUGUAGAUAGAGAAUUUUGGCUUUGGCAGGGUAUAAGUAACCAAAAUCUUUUGUAAUACGUAUAUAGCUGUAAUGAGUUGGAUCUUGGUAUGGUGAUAGUGAUAACCAUAGCAAAGAACUAUUCACUAAGUCUAUAUAAAGUGUCAACCUAACAUGUAUGGCAAGGCGCAUUAGGUCCAAUGUCCAGUAGAUGAGUUAUAGUACAGUAGUAAGAUCCCGAUCCCAUUUGUUAAUUUUAAUUAUCACUAAUCCCUUCCCAAUUUUAAGGAAAAAUGGCAUGCAUAACAGUGAAAAACUUCUUUCACUGAUAAAAAGCUAUAUAUUGAACGACCAUGGCAUUAUUUUCCUCUGUACUGUUAUCUGUGUUGAAUUUUCCCCAAAAAAUGGAUAUCUAUGGAACAAAUGUGUCCACAGAGCCUAGAAUUAGUAGUUUAUAUUCACUGUUAAGAAAAUAGAAAUACAAUACUUCUUUACUGGACCAACAAGCCUAAUCCAGAUUUGGUGAUAGCUUUUCUCAACGUGUUCCUAUGAUGCUCAAUAUUUUGGUGGAGGAACCUUGCUGCAUGUAAUGGAAGAAGGUAAAGAACCUAAAAAACCCAAUGUCUCAAUCUACCGGCCAAACAAACAAGAACUUAAAGAUCGCAACUUCAUCUCCUUGGUGUGCGUGGCGAGCGAUUUCUUCCCAGAACACGUGAAGAUCAAAUGGUUUGUGAAUUCUGUAGAGAGAAACAAUGUAUAUGAACCUACACCUCAGAAAAACGGAAAUAACUUCUACUCCACUAGUAAACGGCUCACCCUGACCAGAGAGGAAUAUUUCAAUCCAGAUUCCACAUUUCGAUGUGUUGCUGCAUUUCUGGAUGGAUCACUUGAAGCUUCUGAAGAGAUUAAAGGAGAAACAGAUUGUGGCGUCUCCAAAGAGUUCUACACCAUGUACAUUAACCAGGGAAAGAUUUCCUACAUCAUGAUUCUCUGUAAAAGUGGCUUGUAUGCUCUGGUUGUCCUUGUCCUGGUGUGGAGAAAAAAAGGUUAUUGCGCACUCCUACUGAAGGGCAUUGCUGAUGCUUCAAACCUAUACAAGCCUGAGCUUCAUGGAUGAAAGCUGCUAGAGUAUAAUUAUAGAGAGGAAAACUGAAGGAAAUCAAUAGCAGCUGAUUUCUAGUACAAAGCAGCGGGGAUCGUCUGUUCUGUAUAUAUGUGCCAUGUGCUGCCUGUGUGCAAUAUGUACCUCUUUGCUAAUAAACUAUUGUAUUAAUA